AACUUUCAGCAAUGGAUCUCUUGGCUCUCGCAUCGAUGAAGAACGCAGCGAAAUGCGAUAAGUAAUGUGAAUUGCAGAUUUUCAGUGAAUCAUCGAAUCAUUGAACGCACCUUGCGCCCCUUGGUAUUCCGAGGGGCAUGCCUGUUUGAGUGUCAUCAAAUCCUCAACCCCCUCCGAUUUGUUUCGGUGGGGGAUUGGACUUGGAGCGUGCUGGCGAAGGUCGGCUCCUCUUUAAAUGCAUCAGCGGAGAAAAUGCCUUUUGCGCCUCUGGCCGUUCAGCGUGAUAAUGACGUUGCGCUGCGGUCGAGCUCAAGGUCCGCUUCCAAAGGUCCUCGGACGAACGUAAACAUGACUUUUGACCUCAAAUCAGGUAGGACUACCCGCUGAACUUAAGCAUAUCAAUAAGCGAGGCU
rnacentral:misc_RNA from 1 species